rnacentral:rRNA from 1 species
GAUGAACGCUGGCGGCGUGCCUAAUACAUGCAAGUCGAACGAGGUGCUUUUUGUAGCAAUACGAGGAGUAUCCUAGUGGCGAACGGGUGAGUAACGCGUGGGUGACCUACCCCAAAGUGUGGAAUAACAGUCCGAAAGGAUUGCUAAUGCCGCAUGUGGUCUGCGAGUUUAGAAAUCGUUGACUAAAGGAGCAAUUCGCUUUGGGAGGGACCUGCGUCCCAUCAGCUAGUUGGUGAGGUAACGGCUCACCAAGGCUACGACGGGUAGGGGACCUGAGAGGGUGGCCCCCCACAAUGGAACUGAAGCACGGUCCAUACACCUACGGGUGGCAGCAGUAGGGAAUAUUGCACAAUGGGCGAAAGCCUGAUGCAGCAACGCCGCGUGUGCGAUGAAGGCCUUGGUCGUAAAGCACUUUCUGAGAGAUGAGAAAGGACAGUAUCUCAGGAAUAAGUACUCGGCGUAACUACGUAGCCAGCAGCCG